rnacentral:rRNA from 1 species
GAUGAACGCUGGCGGCGUGCCUAAUACAUGCAAGUCGAGCGAACAGACGAGGAGCUUGCUCCUCUGACGUUAGCGGCGGACGGGUGAGUAACACGUGGAUCACCUACCUAUAAGACUGGGAUAACUUCGGGAAACCGGAGCUAAUACCGGAUAAUAUAUUGAACCGCAUGGUUCAAUAGUGAAAGACGGCUUUGCUGUCACUUAUAGCUGGAUCCGCGCCGCAUUAGCUAGUUGGUAAGGUAACGGCUUACCAAGGCGACGAUGCGUAGCCGACCUGAGAGGGUGAUCGGCCACACUGGAGCUGAGACACGGUCCAGACUCCUACGGGAGGCAGCAGUAGGGAAUCUUCCGCAAUGGGCGAAAGCCUGACGGAGCAACGCCGCGUGAGUGAUGAAGGUCUUCGGAGCGUAAAACUCUGUUAUUAGGGAAGAACAAAUGUGUAAGUAACUAUGCACGUCUUGACGGUACCUAAUCAGAAAGCCACGGCUAACUACGUG